GACGUAGGGCGCGAGCGUUUGUCCGGAUUUAUUGGGCGUAAAGAGCUCGUAGGCGGCCGGUUGCGUCUGCUGUGAAAUCCCGGGGCUUAACCCCGGGCGUGCAGUGGAUACGGGCUGGCUGGAGGCAGGCAGGGGAGAAUGGAAUUCCCGGUGUAGCGGUGAAAUGCGCAGAUAUCAGGAGGAACACCGGUGGCGAAGGCGGUUCUCUGGGCAUUACCUGACGCUGAGGCGCGAAAGCGUGGGGAGCGAACAGG
rnacentral:rRNA from 1 species